ACAGUGCAGUUUAGAUAAACCCAUAGAGAGGAGUUUUGGUUCCAUACGCAAAUGGCUUCACGGGAAGUUGAAUGUGAAUCCAAAGACUCAUUUGAUUACGGUUCAUACCGUGACUUCCUGGGAAACAAAUGGGGAUUUCUGGGAGUUGACGCUUAUAAGUAGUACGGAAGAAUGAAAACAUUACAUGC